GGUGACCACUUUGUCUUGGGAAUCUCUACUGAAAGUAAGAAACUUUACUUAGUUUGCUUCUUCUCUUUUAGUUGAAACUGAAAUAUAGAUGACUGUUUUUUAAAUUUAAAAAUAGUGAAUAGGAUAAAUUAAGUUAAUUAUUUAAUUUAGAUAGAUUUUAUUUCAGUUAAAAUUUUUUAAGUUAAUGAUUAGGAUAAACUCUAAGAAUUUUUUUAGAUAAAUUUUAUUCCAGUUUAAUUAAAAUUAAACUCUAGUGAUAAGAACAGAAAGAUAGUUACUCUUUUACUGAUUAGGUUUCUUUGAUGGAGUUUUAACUCUAAUCAAUUUUCUAAUGGAAGAAAUAAUUUGAAAUUUCUAAAAUAUAGGCAUUUUCUUGAUCAAGGAUGGUUGAAGAUAAGCUUUAAGCUAUUUUGCGUCUGUUCAAAUUUUACAGUUUGUUACCUGUUUGAUCUCAGGCCCGUGCAAUGAGUGCCAGUAUGGUGUUUGAUGAUUUGUCACGCCGAGAAAUGAGAAAACCGAGUUUAUGAGAUUCUGAUCUUUGCAUUUGAAGAUGACGGGUGGAAUGAAACAUUCGCCAAGAUUCUUACAUUAAAAAUAUAAAAAAAGGCAACGCGCAUAAGAAUAAUGACGUCUUUUCUCAUUAGUUAAAAUUGCAAUAAUCACUAAACAAGAGUCUAAUGUGAACAUUCGACAUGCUUGCAAUCGAUUUUUC
rnacentral:lncRNA from 1 species